rnacentral:sRNA from 1 species
AACCUAGAGAAACGAACAAGAACCUGAAGAAAGCAAAAGUCUAAAGCUAAAACUCUUUAGUAGAUAUAAGCAAAGAGAAAAAAGGGCCAGAAUGGAUAGGAAGGGACUCCCAAAAUCUGAGCAUACCAGCCCCUUAAGGAGAAAUGUUGCUAGACACCCAUAGUUGAGGUUAGAAAGAGGAAAGAAGGAAGAGUUAGUGGGCUAGAGAGGGGAAGGAUGUGAUGUGAGCAGAUGGUUCUCACUCAUUCUCCUCUGUCCAGAGUACCUGAACUAUGAGGAUGGGAAAUUCUCUAAGAGCCGCGGUGUGGGAGUGUUUGGGGACAUGGCCCAGGACACGGGGAUCCCUGCUGACAUCUGGCGCUUCUAUCUGCUGUACAUUCGGCCUGAGGGCCAGGACAGUGCUUUCUCCUGGACGGACCUGCUGCUGAAGAAUAAUUCUGAGCUGCUUAACAACCUGGGCAACUUCAUCAACAGAGCUGGGAUGUUUGUGUCUAAGUUCUUUGGGGGCUAUGUGCCUGAGAUGGUGCUCACCCCUGAUGAUCAGCGCCUGCUGGCCCAUGUCACCCUGGAGCUCCAGCACUAUCACCAGCUACUUGAGAAGGUUCGGAUCCGGGAUGCCUUGCGCAGUAUCCUCACCAUAUCUCGACAUGGCAACCAAUAUAUUCAGGUGAAUGAGCCCUGGAAGCGGAUUAAAGGCAGUGAGGCUGACAGGCAACGGGCAGGAACAGUGACUGGCUUGGCAGUGAAUAUAGCUGCCUUGCUCUCUGUCAUGCUUCAGCCUUACAUGCCCACGGUU